AUUUGUGCGAUGAUGAAGCAAUAUUGUGGACUAGAGUUUCUGAUGUUGGGCUCUUCUUCCCAUUUCUUUUGACGACAAACCCUUGGCUGUCUGAGCACCAAUUAUUAAUCGUUAUUUUUCUCCAAGUUUUCUUAAUUUUUGGAAAAUAUUUUCACUCAAAUUUUAUUAUUUUGUGAAUUAGGUUAAGAGCUAAUGAUGAGAAACAUAAAUAUCUUAGCGGAUUUCAGUGAGAUUACUUGUAAUCAAUGAUCUGAUUGUUACACACACUGAAGCUC
rnacentral:lncRNA from 1 species